rnacentral:rRNA from 1 species
AGUGAACGCUGGCGGUAGGCCUAACACAUGCAAGUCGAACGGCAGCACAGGAGAGCUUGCUCUCUGGGUGGCGAGUGGCGGACGGGUGAGGAAUACAUCGGAAUCUACUUUUUCGUGGGGGAUAACGUAGGGAAACUUACGCUAAUACCGCAUACGACCUACGGGUGAAAGCAGGGGAUCUUCGGACCUUGCGCGAUUGAAUGAGCCGAUGUCGGAUUAGCUAGUUGGCGGGGUAAAGGCCCACCCAGGCGACGAUCCGUAGCUGGUCUGAGAGGAGGAUCAGCCACACUGGAACUGAGACACGGUCCAGACUCCUACGGGAGGCAGCAGUGGGGAAUAUUGGACAAUGGGCGCAAGCCUGAUCCAGCCAUACCGCGUGGGUGAAGAAGGCCUUCGGGUUGUAAAGCCCUUUUGUUGGGAAAGAAAUCCAGCUGGUUAAUACCCGGUUGGGAUGACGGUACCCAAAGAAUAAGCACCGGCUAACUUCGUGCCAGCCGCCGCAGUAA